rfam:Aedes albopictus isolate Foshan contig308635, whole genome shotgun sequence.
AAAACGGCCCUUUUCAGGGCCACCGAAAACGUUUCACAAAAGAGUUU